CGGUAUAAAAGGGCAGAGGGGAAGGAUCCCAUCCAUGGCCAGGCUGGGGAGAGCGGAGGGUGCCGGAGGAGAGAUGCCAGGGUUUCCCGGGGCUGGCAGCUGCUCGCCCCCAAACCUCAGCAGUGCCGGGGCAUUGGCGUGCUGCUCGCUCCCCCUUGCACGUUGGCCAGGCACGGCGGUGGGUUCCUCUCCCGACGUCCUCGGCUCCUGGACUCGCUCUGCUGGGACGCCGUGGGGAAGCGAUGGGUAGGGAGGAGGCAGCAUCAUCGCCUCUUUAUGAUGCUGUAUUUGAAAAUAAAGCUGUUUUUUUG